CGAGAGAGUGCGCGUGCGCAGUGUGUUUUCUCUGUAAUUCUGGGCCGUGUUCCGGAAGCCUCGUAAGACAAAAGCGAACGAGAGGCGGAAAAAAGGAAGACGCUUCCUGAAGUUGGGGAUGCUGGACUAGUUUUCAUACUAGAUCCCCUCGUGGCAGCAUUAAGGAACUUCACAUUCUUCUCACACUAUUCAUGGAAAGUUCCUGGAACUCCCACAGCAGCAAGAAAACUUCGCUUGUAGGAGUCCUUAGCACAUCUGUAAAGUUUUAUUGGCCAAAAUGUGAUACAUCUCCAUUUCUGGAUCAGUCACUGUGGUCAAGUGCAAGACGCUCUACAGGACUCAACCUGGGGAUGAGGUCUGUCUACUCCAUCCAUAUGGUCACUUUAUACUGAGGUUGGGGUUGCUGCUUUUUAAGAGAUGAAAAGAUCCAAGGUGUGACACAGAAUGGAUGACUGGAGUGGAAAAAAUGAAAAUGUCAUUGGAAUAUGGAAGUAAAGAAACUGAGAAGCUGAGAGUUUUUGCAUCAUCCAGUCAGUGUUUCUCAAUCGGGAAAGAAUUUGCCUCCCAGAGGACAUUUGGCAAUGUCUGGAGCUACUUCUGUUUGUCACAAUUAGGAUACCAACAUUCUCAGGGCAGAGUGGGAGUUGGGGGGAGUCUAUAUGUUAUUUUCAGAAGAAUUCAGCCACCUGUAGAAUACAACUGACUAUUCUUAAAAUUCCCGGGAAGUGGAAGCUGACUUUUCUGAAGGCAGAGGGGCUUGGGAACACAGCACUGCUCCCUAAUCUCCCUCACAACCAUGUCUUUGUAAUGAGUAAUCAGGAACAUCGCACUCAGCCAACUGAUUUAGAGUACAAGAAACUACUUUGGUACAGGUGAGAAAUCCCAGGGUAGCAGACUACAAACAGGUCAGCA
rnacentral:lncRNA from 10 species